GACGAACCGUGCGAACGUUGUUCGGAAUCACUGGGCUUAAAGGGCGCGUAGGCGGACAGUCAAGUCAGGGGUGAAAUCCCACGGCUCAACCGUGGAAGUGCCUUUGAUACUGACAGUCUCGAGGGAGGUAGGGGCGUGCGGAACUUCCGGUGGAGCGGUGAAAUGCGUAGAUAUCGGAAGGAACAUCAGUGGCGAAGGCGACUUCCUGGACCAAUACUGACGCUCAGGUGCGAAAGCGUGGGGAGCAAACAGG
rnacentral:rRNA from 1 species